UACGUAGGGGGCAAGCGUUGUCCGGAUUUAUUGGGCGUAAAGAGCGUGUAGGCGGCCUGACAGGUCUGCUGUGAAAACUCGAGGCUCAACCUCGAGAUGUCGGCGGAAACCGUCUGGCUAGAGUCCGGAAGAGGAGAGUGGAAUUCCCGGUGUAGCGGUGAAAUGCGCAGAUAUCGGGAGGAACACCAAUGGCGAAGGCAGCUCGCUGGGACGGUACUGACGCUGAGACGCGAAAGCGUGGGGAGCAAACAGG
rnacentral:rRNA from 1 species